rnacentral:rRNA from 1 species
AUUGAACGCUGGCGGCAGGCCUAACACAUGCAAGUCGAACGAGUGGCGGACGGGUGAGUAAUGUCUGGGAAACUGCCUGAUGGAGGGGGCUAACUACUGGAACCGGUAGCUAAUACCGCAUACCAUCAGAUGUGCCCAGAUGGGUUUAGCUUGUUGGUGGGGUAACGGCUCACCACGGAGACGAUCCCUAGCUGGGCUGAGAGGAUGACAAGCCACACUGGAAAUGAGAAACGGUCCAGACUCCUACGGGAGGCAGCAGUGGGGAAUAUUGCACAAUGGGCGCAAGCCUGAUGCAGCCAUGCCGCGUGUAUGAAGAAGGCCGUCGGGUGGUAAAGUACUUUCAGCGGGGAGGCGUGACCCGCAGAAGAAGCACCGGCUAACUCCGUGCCAGCCGCCGCGGUAAUAC